AGAGCGGCGGCGGCGUGGGCACGUAAGGGGCGGGGCGUUACCUCAGAGCGGAGGGACCCGGAUGGAGGCGGAGGGGAGCGGCGGGGGCGCCUCACCCCACCCAGGCCCCGGCAGCAAGCGGCGAACCGCGGCCUGCGAGUGGGAGGCGCCGCCCCCCCCGAAGCAGCGGCUGCCGGAGGCGGUGGCGGCCGCUCGGCUCCGGGUGCUCGGGGCUCAGCACGACCACGGCUACAGCGGGAACGGGCUCCCCCCGAGGCCCCACAUCCCCUGAGGCUGCUGCUGCCCCACAACUGCCCCUCCCCCAAUAAACACGGGCCCCUCCCCCACCGCGUCCAGCUGCUACUUGUGGGGCUGAGACCCACAUGGGGGGGGAGGGACCCCCCUGCCCCAUAGACCGCUCCCCCCACCCCCCCGAUACCUACCCAUAAUCACCCCAUAGCUGCCCCAUAAGUGCCCCACACACCCCUUAAGCCCCUCCCCCACCCCACAGACCCCUCUCCCCCUUUGCCCCUCCCCCACCCCCCAAAUUAACAGAAAAUUUAUUUUUUUAUUCGGUUUUGGGGUUUUUUUCCUCUUUUUUGGGUCAUUUGGGGCCAUUUUUAAGGUUCCCCCCUCCCCCCUCCCCCCACUAUAAAUAAUAGAAAAGCCCCCGCGGGGGGGGAGGGGAGGGGCGGCUCCAGCUCUGCCCCAUAGAUUCCCCCCCACGCUCCAGCCCCACACUUGGGGGGCAGAAGGAGCCACUUGGGGGGCGGCGUCAGUUGCCCGGGGGGUGGAACUGGAGCUGCUGCGACUGGACUGGAAGGAGAUGGGGGGGGGGAGUGUAAAUGUGGGGCGCCCCAUAAGUGAUACCCCCAGACCCAUAAGUGACACUCUUCCACACUCUUCCAGACCUAUGACCCCUCUAGGACCCAUAAGUGACACCCCAGACCCAUAAGUGAUUUUCUACCCCCAAAAGUAACACUCCUCCACCCCAUAAGUGACAUCUCCCAGCCCCAUAAAUCCCCCCCAGCCCCGUAAGUGACCCCUCUCUGCCCCAUAGGCGACUCCUCCAGACCCAUAAGUGACACCCCCAGCCCCAUAAGUGCCCCUAAAGUGCCCCAUAAGCACCAAUGCCAUCCGCACAAGUGCUCCCUCUGCCCCCCCCAAGUGCCCCAUAAACACCAACCCUCAGCCCCACAAGUCCCGCUCCUGCCCCCCAAGUGUCCCCCCCCUCACCUUGGUGGUGGCCGAUGUAGGGGAAGGGCCCGGGGGUGACGCCGCCCCCCCCCCCCCCCCCCCCGUGGCUCUGGUGCAGCAGCAUCACCUGGGGGGGGGGAUGGGCGGCCCCGGGGUGGGGGGGGGGCGGGGCCGCCGCGAGACCCGUCUGUACGUGGGCCUGGGGGGGAGGGGCGAGUCAGGAGACACAUGUAUCGCCCCUCCCCCCAAGACAUGUCCUUCCUAUCACGCCUCCCCCCACGACAUGUCCCUCCUAUGGCCCCUCCCCGCACGAUAUGACCCUCCUAUCGCCCCUCCCCCCACGACAUGUCCCUCCUAUGGCCCUCCCCGCACGAUAUGACCCUCCUAUCGCCUCUCCCCGCACGAUAUGACCCUCCUAUCGCCCCUCCCCGCAUGAUAUGAUUCCUAUUGCCCCUCCCCCCACGAUAUGUCCCUCCUAUCGCCCCUCCCUGCACAAUAUGACCCUUCUAUCGCCCCUCCCUCCACGAUAUGUCCCUCCUAUCGCCCCUCCCUGCACAAUAUGACCCUUCUAUCGCCCCUCCCUCCACGAUAUAAGCCCCAUAUUGCCCCUACCCCCAUGGUACGAUCCUCCCCCAAGGGAAAAACCCUUGUAUCGCCCCUCCCCCACAAUAUAACACUCACAUUGCCCCUGC
rnacentral:lncRNA from 1 species